rnacentral:SRP_RNA from 1 species
UAUAAGUGCGACAAUCAUAACCUUUGAACCUGGUCAGGCCUGAAAAGGAGCAGCCAUAAGAAGAAGUGUGAUGUGUCGCACUUUUUUUU